UACGGAGGGUGCGAGCGUUGUCCGGAAUCACUGGGCGUAAAGGGCGCGUAGGUGGCUUGGCAAGCGUGUGGUGAAAGCCCGGGGCUCAACCCCGGGUCUGCCGUGCGAACUGCUAUGGCUUGAGCACUGUAGAGGCAGGUAGAAUUCCGGGUGUAGCGGUGGAAUGCGUAGAUAUCGGGAGGAACACCAGUGGCGAAGGCGGGCAUCUGGGCUAACACUGACGCUGAGGCGCGAAAGCUAGGGGAGCAAACAGG
rnacentral:rRNA from 1 species